GUCACGUCAUGGAAGCUGGUCACGCCCGAAGUCGGUGUACUAACCCUCUGGGAGGUAGCCGCCUAAGGCAGGGCCGGUGACUGGGACGAAGUCGUAACAAGGUAGCCGUACCGGAAGGUGCGGCUGGAUCACCUCCUUU
rnacentral:rRNA from 1 species